CAAUCAAUAUUUUUUCGACAUAAAAAUUAAACAAUAACUUAUAUUUAUCAAGUGCUAACAUUGGUUUCCUCUAAAAAAAAAUAAACAUACCCAUAUCAAAAAACCUAUGUUGAAUAAAUUCCGCUAUUUAUUACGAAAAUGUCGGUUAUUGAUUUCGUAAAUCGCAGUGUUUGCUUAUAUUGUACAUCAGUUGGCGGUGUGAAUGAUUUUCACGAUGUUUUUGAAGAUGCCGAAUUGCAGUUGCCAAAUUUAAUUAAAAAGUAUUUUGGAUUAGUUGUAACAGAGAAUGCUGAUAGAAAAACGAAACAAUAUUUGUGUGUUGAUUGUGUUAAUCAUCUUAUAGAACUAUAUGAUUUGGAAGAGCACAACAAGGAAGUCCAAUUGGAAAGGGAAGACGACGACAACGGCACAGCGGACAAUAUUGAAAUUGAAAUAGAAACAGAAAAACAAAUAGUAAUCGAUGGAGUGUCAAACCAAAUUAAAAACGAUGAAGUUAAAUACCUUGACUCGGCUUCUUCCUAUAGAGAUGAUAAUGAUGAGUGCUCUGGCGAGGCAGAAGAUGAAACUGCCUACAAUGAAUAUAUGGAAAGUACUGAGAUUUACUUUUGUGCGGAUGGUGAAGAAGAGACAUCUGAACUGAUUUAUAGCCACGAAGAUGUAGAAGCUAACAGUUGUGACCUAAACGACAAUCUACAGUCUGUUGCAGACUUUGAGCAAAAUAUUGCAACUGAUUAUGUAUUAGAAACGAAAAGCAUAGAACAUUCCAAUAAAGAAGAGUACGUAGAGCUAAUAACUUUUAAGGAUGACAUUGAAAUUCAAACCAUAGAAGAUACAAAUUUGGAUUUCGAGGAAGAAGUUAAUCCAGUGGACAUUGUCGAGGAUAAUGAAGCGUAUGAAGACCUGGAGUUGCCAAGCAGUACCUCUUUAAAUGAUGAUUUCAUAGAAGAAGAUGAGGAAUAUUUUUCGGCCGAUAUUAGGAGUAUGCAUGACAGCGUAGAGGAGGAACAUCUAAUAGAAGAAACCAUUUGCUCCCAGGAGUAUGACAACGUCAAUCUCAAUGAUUAUCUUGACAAGGCCAUUAUUACUAAGUUUGAGGACCUGCAACUGAAAUGGACAGUCGAGUGUAAAUUAUGUCUCUACAAGCACUACUCAUUUCAGGAGUUAAUAAAACAUCCAUGUGUUAAUGAAUUGGUAGGGGAUCAGCAGUCGUGUUGUAUUAUACAAGACUGCAAUGAUGUUGUGAACAAUUUAAAAACACUGGCCAGGCAUUUGAUUAUUCAACACUAUGAGAAAGUGGAUAGUCUUGCUGUUUAUGGACGUUGCCCUGAAUGCCAGAAAACAUUUUCAAAUCUCAUUGAUUUCAAUAAACAUUCCUGCUGUAACCUAAAGCGUACACCUGGAACUAGAAAUUAUUGUCCGACUUGUGAUUUAGACUUUCAGUCCUUCAGAAGAUUUAUUUUCCAUAUGCAAUUUCAUUUGAUCAAACAUCGACCCAAGAUUUGUCUAUUAUGUGGUGCCAUGUUCCAUAGUCCAAAUGAUUUUUUCGAACACGUGCACUAUUCUCACACAGUUACGAAUUUGGCUUGUAGAAUGUGUGAUCGAUUUUUCCAGGACAAAACUGUUUUUGAGCAACACAUGGCUAGCCAUGAAUCGAAAAGUAUAUUUGAGUGCACCCAAUGCCCCAAGAGGUAUACCAAUAAGAGUGGUUUAACCAAUCAUAUGGAUAUUUACCACAAUCAUAAAAUGAAGGCCCUACAAUGUGAAUAUUGUUAUAAGGAAUUUAUAAACCAAACUACUUAUCGCAAUCACAUGAAAUUCCAUUUGCCUGAAGGGAAAGCAACCGCAUUUAUUUGCACGGAAUGUGGACUUGUGUCGCAUAACAAGAACUUAAUUGAGGAACAUGUCGGCUCGGAGGAAACCGAUGGUAAUGUUGUUAAAAAGGUACUCUCUAUAGUGUUUACCUGUGAACAUUGUUCGCUGGAUUUUGAGUCUACGAAACAUUUGAGAAAUCAUCGACGAUCACCCAAACAUGAUGGGAAACUAUUUUACUGUCCAAUAUGUCGCAAGGAUUUUAAAACCUUUAAACAUAUGCGAAAUCACUUAUCCUGCCACCGGGACUAUGAUGAAUGGUUUCAAGAGUUUCCCAUUGAUCGAAUGUAUAUGUGUGACAUUGGCAAUUGUCUGGAUGCUUAUCCAUUGUGGACUUCCUUGUAUUACCAUAAGAAGAGACAUAAGAGUUCUAAUGAUACUGCUGCUGCUGCUCCUGCUUCCUUGAAUUGUCAAUUUUGUAAGAAAAAGUGUCCCACAAAGAUGUCGCUGGCAAUACAUGUGGCUCGAUCUCAUAAUAGUAAUCAUAUUAAGUGUCCGCAUUGCAAAAAGAUGUACAAAAGUGACCUGGAUUUAAAACUACACAUUGAGUAUAUGCAUCUAGAGGUUGAAUGUUCCCAAUGCUCCAAGAUGUUUAAAAAUCAACGAAAUCUAAUUUCGCAUGAACAACUGGUGCAUAAAAAUGCCAAACGUUUUUAUUGCAGUCAUUGCUCCAAGGGAUACUACUAUAAGAGUGAGUUGAAUGCUCACGAGAGGAAUGCUCAUCCCGAUGUUUUGUACCAAUGUAAACUUUGUAAUUUUAAAACCACCUAUCCAAAAUCUUUGGAUAUACAUCAUAUGGCAAAACAUGAGCACACACUACCUUUCAAGUGCUCACAAUGUUCCAAAGGUUUUGCGCGCAAACAGUUGCUGGUUACUCAUAUGAAAAGACAUAAAGAAGAUAAGGAUUUCAUUUGCAAGGAAUAUUUAAAUAAUGGAUGCAAUGCUUCGUUUGUAACCUAUUUUCUUAUGAAGGAACACAUAGACACUCAACAUCCCUCAACAUCGAAUGGAAGAAGUCUACUCAAAAAGUCCACCCAACAAAGGGUUAUAUUAUAUAAUGAAGAAGAAGAUGACACUAGUGAGGUGGAAUACCUUUUAGGUGAUUCGGUCGAAGAAGAGCCGGACAGUGAUAAUGAAUAUGAAAUAGAAGAUAUUAAUAUGGACGAUGAAUGCGGAAUUGCUGAUGAAUUGGAUGGCGAAUGUGAAGAUGACGAUACGGAUUUUUAAGAUGUGGUGUCAGUGCUGCCAGCCCUUAUAUUUAAGUCUGCAACAUGUCAUUUCGGGCUGGUUUGGAGGCCCUUUAGAUUGUUGGCCCAAAAUUCAAUGUCAAAUUCCUACUCUAUUCUCAAAUACCUUGAAUUUGAGCCCCAUAUUGUCAUAGGAGGGCUACAUGUCCGUUGGUGCCUUCUUGGGGUAAAACUCUCUUAAUGUUGAAUCCAUAUUUCAUAGUAAGAUUCGUUCUUUCUUCCAUUCCGCUUUGGGUUGUUUCCUCACAGAUCCCCCUUCUGAUAUUGAAAUAUAAGUGCAUUAUUUUCAUCCCAUGCUUAUUUUAAACUAUCUGAAUAUUGCGAGUAAAUCUAAGUCUAUACAAACAUAGAUACAUACAAAAAGAUAUUGAUUUUUUACCUUUA